GAACUCCUGAACCUGCAUCUUAAUGGAUGCUAGUCAGAUUCAUUUCUGUUGAGCCACGGCGGGAACUCCUAGUGUCUUGUUUAGUGUUUUUUAAUAUGUUUUUAGAUGAAUGAGUUCCUGUUACACUACAUUGCAAGGUAAGAUCAUUAUGGUAACUCAGCUUAUAACUCAGUGGUCAGACAGACAGUACAGGGACAGCCCUGCGUUUCUGGGGCCAGCAGGCUGGAGGAGCCAGGCGAAGGGCACGUGAGCUAAUACACACACAGUACAAGGCGCCAGGAAACCACGAAAGUGCAAAACUUGAGCUUGUAAUAGAGACAGUCAGGGAAGGUCUUUCUUUUUAAAAAAUAUUUUUAAAAAUUUGGCCACAACUACGGCAUUUGGAAGUUCCCAGGCCAGGGGCUGAACCCACACCGCAGCAGGAACCCAAAUCACAGCGGUGACAACGCCCAGUCAUUAAACCACUCAGCCACCAGGGAGCUGCAGGGAGGGUCUUCCUGAGACGAAGGUCAGGGGCGGUCUUUCUGAGCAGGUCACACCCAAACUGAGAUGGGAAGUCAGUGCAGGAGCCAGCCAAGCCUCCAGUGGGUGAAGAAGCAUUUUGGCAGAAGGCAUAAAAUACAACGGUUCAGAGGGGGAAGGGGCCUGAAGGGGCCCUGCGUGGCAUGGAGUGGACGAGGUCAAAUGUAAAAUUUGCUGCCACGGCCCUUUUUGCUGCCUGGUGAGGGUGGGACUUCAUGGGGAAGAUUUUAUAGGAAAUAAAGAAACUGAGUUUUCUUGGCACGUUGUAGUCGUGUGUAUAAAUGCGCAGCCUGGCUGUAUGAUAAUUGGUGGCUGUUAUUACGAGAAGCACGUGUGAGACCUGUCAAGCCUUCCUUAGCAUUCGAUACAGCUGAGCAUAGAUCAGGUGCAUCCUUUUAGCUCCAGGCCUGUAUCUUGAUUCUCUCCUUUUGGCAGGAUGGAAGCCCAGAGGGACCACAGCAUUUCAGGGCGCCAGGCACUGGCCAGAGGAGGCGUUGCCAGCAAUGCAAUGAAAACAGUAGGGCUGCCGGUGCCGCUUUCCCAGACAAUGGCUCUCAGCUCUGCCUGUAGGAAGAGCCAGUGCUCUCACUGGAGGCUUCUGAGCAAGGAGGUGGGACUGACUUGGAGGCGUAGUGACCAGGCCUCAGCGCCUUUCUGCAGGACCAGGUGUGACCCUUGCACAGACCCCAGAGGAAUCGGCCUACCCUAGGACUGCUCUGUCGUCUGCUUCUGGGUAAGAGCACGACUCUGAAAGGGUUGGGGUGUCGGGAGAGAGGGUAUCAGCUGGUUCAUCUUUCAUAAGGAGGUGCUUCCUGCCUCCAGGUGGGGCGUGUGGAAUCACGGCCACAUAGAAACCCUUGGCUGUAAAGGGGCAAAAAGACUAAAGCUGGGACAGUUUCUAGCCCAGGCCCCCUGUUUCCUGGACGCUGGCCUAUACGGGACUCUUCAUCGUCCUCUGGAUUGAGAGGUACCCCAGAAAGAGGUCAAGUUCUGGCUCCUGUCUUGGCUCAGCACCAAGGAAGCUGUGCAGCCCCAGGCAGAUCCCUGUGCAUCUCUGGGCUUCCAUCUUCCUCCUUAGUGGAAAGAGGAGGCCGCACUAGAUUAGGGUUCUGGAAUAUUAG